GGCACCGGCCGACGGCAGCGCCGGCCGCGACGGCCUCGAGGGCCGCCGCUCCGUGUGGCGCCCCCUGGCGGCGCGCGGCGAGAGCGGAGGGCUGAAGUCGGCUGCCAUUGGUUAGAAUGGAGCAGGGAAAAUGUGAUCUUCCUGACGCCGACUGUGCACGGGGAGCCCCGAAAGGAGCACUUUCUCUGCUCGUUUCCGCUGUGGAGCGCGCUGAGAGCUUCCCUGCCAUUAAUGGGGGGGUGCUCGGCUCAGGGAGUCCGAGGCAGACGAGGAAAUGGCAUUAAAUAAUAAAGUGAAAACUACUAAUUAUGCUGGAAUGAGUUUUAGGAAGAUGGGUUUAACGUUCCCUGGGAGGCUUCUGUGGGGAAUGUAUCAUUUGGUAAACGAUGGUGAUGAUAAUAUUGAUGUCGCACACAUGAGGCUAUCAAUGCUGUCAUGCAGCGUCUCCAUCAGAAUAACCCCAAAGGAUGAGUCCGUGUUGGAGCCACAUCGUGCAUUUGUUACACAUCGUGCUGCAGCUAAAUAAUAACGCUCUUUUGCUCCUUUCAUUCAGGCUUUCCAACUCUGCCCCGUAACUCCAGGCAGUUGGUUAUGUGCACGUAGCAGGCGGCACCCAUCCAGAAUAUAUUUGUCCCAGCUUACGUUUACAUGAGGUCCUGCUACACUCGUACUAUUGCAGGGGUAGAAGCGGCAUUGCUGUAAAUGGAAGUUAGACCUGCAGGACCUUGCAGGCCGAAUUCAGUGUCACCCUGACACAAGCAGAGCCCACCUAAUUGCAUACUUCUUAAGAUCUCCAGACAAGUACAAAUAAGUACAAUUCCUCACCCACUGCCUAGAGGAGCCCUCGGCUUUCUCUGCUUGCACUGAGCAGGAGAAACGCAGUUCUGGGAGAGGUAGGGUUAACAGGAUGCACGCUUUGUGGGGUGGAGGGAGCCCUUGCUGUAGAGCCAGGAUGGAUGGACGGAAGGGCAGAUAGACAGCUCUGGGUGUGUUGAAAACGGGCAGUUCUCCACCCACCUCUCCUCGCAGUAAUAGCAUGAGGGAGAUUCUGUUUACCUAAAUCAGAUUACGGCAGUUUAACGGAAGGUCACAAUUUGAGCCUAAACAAUUUUGGUUUGCUGCCAACAGCUCGUUUUCAGAACUAUAAAUAGGAGUGAUUUCAGAAUACUCUGACAAAUAAAAGUCAGCGGGCAGCAGAAGCCAGCUGAAUUGUGUUGCAAAGUAUUUCCAGAUAUGUCCUUAAGUGAGGCAGUGAGAAAUUAUGUAGCACGAGGAAUGCCUUUCAUAAGAAUAUUAACCUAGUUUCUUUUAAUGAGUAGUGACUACAUUUAGUGAGAGUUUGAGUAUUUCAUUUUAGAAACCUUGGGUCUCAGCCUGGCUAGAAGAGGUGUUAAAUGACCUAAUAAUCUUCUCCAUUUUUAGGUGCUGCAGCCGUGAGUCUCCAUAUGGCUUGUGUCAUUGCCCCAGGACGAAAGAGACAUCCAGGGUUUGGACAGUUUCUGCUGCUGUUCUUCUACGGCCUCCAUCCCAGCUGCCCACAUCAGAAGCAAAGCGAGGCCUUAACCCUUGGCAACUCCUAGCAGCUGAAAGGGCCAUCAGAACUGUUAGUAACCGCUUUGAUGUAAAGCAAAUAUUCCUUGAGCUUCUUUAAUCUGUUCCAAGGACUGAUGUACUGCUUACCAGCCUUGGUAUGAGCAAGGGGUCGUUACUGUAAUACGGUCAGUUGCUUGUCUCCAAAUUCAUCUUACCAAACAUCAUUUUGCUCCAGUAGUAGCCUGAAGUGUUCUGUUCUUUUGCAUAUAAAAUACAUGAUGAAGAGUGACCCAACCAUCUCAUCUGUCUUGCAUUUUGGAAAUUAAAAACAUAGAAAAUAGACAGAAUCAUAGGGGCUGGGAGGGACCUCUGAAGGUCCAACUCCCUGCUAAAGCAGCUUUCCUGGAGUAGGUCGUUUAGGAAAGCAUCCAGGUGGAUUUUGUAUAUCUCCAGAGAAGGAGACUCUACCACCUCUUUGGACAGCCUGUCCCAGUGCUCUGUCACCCAAACGCUAACAAAGUUUUUCCUCAUGUUUGUGUGAAACUGGCUAUGUUCCUGUUUGUGCCCAUUGCCCCUUGUCCUAUUGCUGGGCACCGCUAAGAGCCUGGCCCCAUCCACUUGACUUGACUCACCCUUAUGGGUAGUCGUUUUCAGUGUUAUCACUGGUUGCUGGAACGAGCCUUUGGCUACUUCUGGUGCACCUGAGUAGGUAGCAGGAUGAACACGAUUCUGAAAUGCAUUGUGAGAACCAGCUGCACAUUGUUUAAGAAAAAGAAAAAAAUCUCUCUGUGCUCUAAGGGAUGGUGGGGGGGAGGAGGGGUAGGAACCACUUACACUUGUCUUCAGUAUAUCUAUAACUAACCAGUUCUCUUCCACCCCUCAUAUAGUGACACUCUAGUGAAAAGUUAUUUCCUUCUGUUACUUUUAUACAAUUUACAGGCCAUUAUUUGACCAUAAACACAUAGCCUUACUGUAAAUGGGAGCCUUGAAGACAGAUUUGCUUCUGUCUAGUAAUUUGAGUAGCACUGAGGAACAGCUACAAUAUGCCUUAAAGGCCCAGCAGAGGUAUCUGCGUUGUUCAGGAUGAAAAUUUUACUCGGUGAUUUUUGGGGUGGGUAUUUCUUAAGUUCUUUGCACGUCUCUUUCUGGGAGGAUUUGUGUAUACCUGCUUGAUUUCAUGGCUGCUGAGUUCAAAAAUGACCUGCAGGACUUAGGCAGCUCUGUGAAUUAGUGUACAAACUGAGGAGACAUGAAAAUGAGGUGAUGAGGCUUGGCUGUAGAAAGAUUUUGCUGUCAGUCUGAAUGAAAUAACGCUGUGGGGCUGGAAACAGCAGGCAUUGUCAGAUAGAAGGGAUUAAAAGGCUUUUUAGUGUGGCUUAGUAGUGUACAGAAGAUUGGCUUACUUGUGAUAGAUCUUCUUUCGUCACAUUGAUCUUUAUUUUGCAUUGUGCUUAGUACAACAAAAACUGGAGACUGAAGUCUUCUUUCAUGAAUCAUCUCACACAACCCGUCCCUUUUAUUACUUAUUAAAAUCUUUUUUUUUUUUUAAGAAAUUGAUUUCUUUUUGCCACUGUAGCCAAUGUUGAGUAAUAGCUGAAGAAUACCAAGCUGUAAUAAUUUUAUGAUCACUGUAUGUGGCCAUGUUGGUGAGAGGAAGCUACGACAGAAUGGGUUAGAGUACUUUAUAUUACUUUCCUGUAUGGAUGUAUCGAUCUACCAUAAUAGGGAGCUGGCUGAUGAGGGAAUAAAAGGCAAUUCAAUGGUUCCCCGUGUCAGCUGUAUGUGACUAAACCCACGAGGUGGUAAUUACAAGACGAUAGCUCCAGUUCCAGGGGAUGCAGCUGGCUUGUCAGGCUGGGAACUAGAAAUGAGUGGAGGAUGAUGUUGGCAGAGGCUGACAAAGGAAACUGUUUGACACAGAGCAAGACGUACUAAAAGAGGCUGGAAGAAGCUGGGCCUUCCUUUCGCCAGCACUGGAGCGGUAGGUGUGUUGUACAGGAAAGGCGAGUGUGUUGACUGGUUUAUUGUUUUCAAGAUCUAUUCUGUCUUAAAUGGUUUGGUGCUAAGUAAGUGUUUUGUGGUCAGUGCUUACUGUCAUUACUUUACGAGAGACUAAAACUGCAAGGCCUGGAUCCGUCCUGAAUCUGCAGAGGUAAUCAUGGCUCAGACACCAGGGAAGCAACCUGAGAACCGCUCUGCAUGUAGCUAAAGAAGACAGCGUGAGAUCUGGAGGAACAGUUAGCUGAUCUCUUGUGAGGGCAAAAUGCAAACACACGAGUUCUGUUUUUUCUUUUUUGAGAAUGAUUUUGUGCUUAAGUAGUUUAUAGAACAAGGGGUAGGCUUGCACAGACAGACUUAAACUUGGUGUUUGGAUGCGUUGUUUUUCCUUUUUAUGGCAUAGUUAAAAACACAGUAUCUGAGGUAAGAAAAAAUACUGCAUUAAUAAUGGUAAAUAUCGGUUACGUCUAAAAUACAGGCUGGCUGCUGCAACUGAAAGAUAACACAGCAAAAGUGGGUUUUAUUUUGUUCUCUUUUUAUUCACUGUUUAUUGUACAGUUGUUCUCACCACUUACCGUAUAUAAUUGAUUGGUUGUCUCCUGCUGUUAAUAUGGUUAUUUGGUGCAUGGAAAUUGAAAAAAGACAUGUUUUUAUGAAAAGGAAAAUGCAGCUAAAAAACUUGUCUUUUCACAGGAUGGAAGGUUGUGCCACGUCUUAUCCCAAUAAAACAGCCAUUAACGGCUUUGUGCUUCAUAUUCUUGUCUACCAUCCACACAUACAGUUACCCAUCCUACAGCAGGUGUUUUAUAAGGUGAGUGCCAGGAGCAGGAGGUGCAGCAUAGCUGCUUGUGUCCGUUCCCCCUCCAGGAGCGGGUGAGCAGCACCAGACACAGGUUUGUAAGCACCUAAUAGAAGAAUGGUAAAUGCCAUUGGUGAGAGUGGUCUGACAUAAACAGGAAUCCCAGACCCUCCCUUCAGAGUCUUAGGUCUGAGGUGUUUGUUUGAUGGUUGUUUUGGUUUUUGUGUGUGUGUGUGUGUGUAUGUGUUUGAGAUCAAAGGAGUGUAUGGUACUAUGAACAAAAUGUGCAAGGGCCCACCCUUCCUGAAUUGCACUUUCAGUAAUAUGUUCAGUCCUGCAGCUGUAACACUCCACAGAAGGAUUUUUUCCUUUUUUUUUUUUUUUUUCCAAACUCAUCUCCUUUUCUAAUAUAUGUCACAAGGAAAUUUUAAUAGGUGUUUUCAUAGGAUUACUUCAUGGUUUCUGAUCCUACACUUCUCUCAGUGUAGUCUGUGAGAAGAGCUGGUGUUCACUGCCAGUUUAAAUCCAGCACCUUUAACUCAUCAGAAGUUUGUGUGGUAUAUUACUUACAGUGGAUGUAAGUGCCAGAAGUGACCUGUAAACCUAAUACUAAAUUGGGACUACAAAAUUAAUUUCACUUAGAUUGUGGAAAUUAGACUAGAAAUAGAAUUCCAUUGGGAGCUGCGUAAACCUUGACAUUGGUUUAGUGUAAUUCUUUCCUUAAGAGGGUAACUUUAAAUUGUAUAACAAUACAUAGUUUUAAGCAGCUCAUAUUUCUAGCAAAUUGUGCAGUAAGACAAGUAUUAACAGGAACAUUCAGUGGUAUUUCUGAAUGUAAGGAUCAGUGUCUAGCUUUAAGGCUGCUGAGAAGACAGUCAGGUGUCAUACUCCGUCCCCAAACCUGAUCAGAUAGGUAAAGCUAUCAAGCCCACAUGCCAUUUGCCAAGCAUCUCCAUUCAGUCCAUGAAUUGUAAUUUAUAAUAUAUAAUUUAUAUCAAAAUCACACUAAUUUACUCUGACUGGGGAGAAUUUGUCAACUUGGACUCAGCGAUUAAAGGUCUGAUUAGCUCCGGAACAAAAAUGUUUAUUCUCUUAAUAGAUGGCAAGUGAGCGUUUUAUGCCUUAACUUCAUUUAGACUGAAAUUAUUCUGAAUCUUUCAAAUGUUUGUUUGCUCUGAAUGACAGCAUAUUCUAUACUAAAAAGCAUAUUUUCUUCUCUUUCCAAGUCUGAAUUAACAUAUGCACUGUGAUUGCAUGAGAGCUCAUGCAUUAGAUUACAUUUGCAAGGGAGAAUUUUGAGUACUUAAGCUUAAUUUCACCUAUUAAAACACUAAUUUUGAAUGUUAUACUGAAAGUAACGUAGAAUACCCUGACAGCCUGUAAAAUAUUUGACAAUGUUUUAAGCAGUAAUACUCUGAAUGCUUGGUCAUCUCAAAUUUGCUUCAAGUGUUCUGGCAUCUGUUACUGACCAAGUCUUCUGCAUUAUUUGACAUCGUAUUGCCGUGGUCCUUUGCUAAGCAAAAGCAGUUCUAACACCUGUCUGACUGCAAUCAGAGUACAGCUGCACACCAGACCUUAAUCACUUCAGAUAUUCCAAGUAACUGCUUACAGGCCACCUUCUGCAACACCUCAUUCAUUUGAGUCACUGUUAAACAUUCUCUUGUAUUAGAAGAGUUCUUACAAUGAGUUGCUUCUUCCAGACAUGGAAUAUGUUGAUAGCAAGUAGCCCUUGCAUGUUCUUCCUCCCUUCUGCAUGCUUAGGGCUAAUCUUUUGAUCUUGUUAGUUCCUUUUAAUCUCUAAAUUGUCUGCAUGUCCUUCCAAGACAGCUCUGCCCUUUCCUUUCCUUGAUGAUUUCAAGUUGUUUGUUCUUUCCAAGGUUGACUGUCAAGGGACAAGCUUUAAGAUACUGCAUACUUCCUCAACUGUAUAGUUAUUAGCAAAGAAAAGCUGUUAGGAAUGAGGAUCCACACUAAAAUAGAAAAUCGCACAUAAAAACCUACCACUCGAUAGGACAGGAAAAAGCUUCUGGCAGCUAAAAACACAUGCAUGUUCUCCUAACUCAUAAUAAAUAAUGGCACAAGAAGUAAAUUUUGCAGAAAUACAGACAUACAAAUAAAUGAACGCCUAGCAGUAAUUUAGCUUUGAAUCUUCUCAAACUGCAACUUGACCCAACCCUACUCAAUAGUGGAAACAUUUUACAUCGAGAGGGGAAGUAGAUUUGCACUUCUUAUUGAAUUGUGAUGUUAUCAUUGAAAAUACCAAAAUAAAAAUUGUAUGUUUUAGAAGAUGAAAUGACACCUACAGCUUGAGACAUCUCCUGGCAUGACAAAUGGGACUUACAAAAUAAAGCAGUGAACGCUUUGUAUUUGCAAUUCACAAUGACAGUAGCCAUUUAUUAUCAGAUAUGUUCUGUUCUGUAACCAUAAUAGUGUUAGCUGCUAAGACUAUCAAAACUUCUAAGGCAUACGAGAAUGCUUGAGGUAAAAAGGCAUAUUUGUAUGAUAUGUAUGUUUCUGAAGGAAACACAGCAUGUUUCAGUAAAAAGAUAAUUCAAUUUAA